UACAGAGGGUGCAAGCGUUAAUCGGAAUUACUGGGCGUAAAGCGUGCGUAGACGGUUAUUUAAGUCGGGUGUGAAAGCCCCGGGCUCAACCUGGGAAUUGCAUUCGAGACUGAAUAGCUAGGGUGCGGAAGAGGGAAGCGGAAUUUCCGGUGUAGCGGUGAAAUGCGUAGAUAUCGGAAGGAACACCAGUGGCGAAAGCGGCUCACUGGACGGUCGUGACGCUGAGGCGCGAAAGCGUGGGGAGCAAACGGG
rnacentral:rRNA from 1 species